UACGUAGGGCGCAAGCGUUGUCCGGAAUUAUUGGGCGUAAAGCGCACGUAGGCGGCUUAGCAAGUCGGAAGUGAAAUCCCACGGCUCAACCAUGGAAGUGCUUUCGAAACUGCUGAGCUUGAGUACGAAAGAGGAUCGCGGAAUUCCCGGUGUAGAGGUGAAAUUCGUAGAUAUCGGGAGGAACACCAGUGGCGAAGGCGGCGAUCUGGGUCGAUACUGACGCUGAGGUGCGAAAGCGUGGGGAGCAAACAGG
rnacentral:rRNA from 1 species